rnacentral:misc_RNA from 1 species
GAUGAAGAACGUAGCAAAAUGCGAUAAGUAAUGUGAAUUGCAGAAUUCAGUGAAUCAUCGAAUCUUUGAACGCACAUUGCGCCCGCCAGUAUUCUGGCGGGCAUGCCUGUUCGAGCAUCAUUUCAACCCUCAAGCCCCCGGGUUUGGUGUUGGGGAUCGGGCUGUACUCCAGCCCGGCCCCGAAAUCUAGUGGCGGUCUCGCUGCAGCCUCCAUUGCGUAGUAGCUAACACCUCGCAACUGGAACGCGGCGCGGCCAAGCCGUUAAACCCCCAACUUCUGAAUGUUGACCUCGGAUCAGGUAGGAAUACCCGCUGAACUUAAGCAUAUCAAUAAGCGGAGGA